rnacentral:lncRNA from 1 species
AAACCACAGUCAACAUGAAUUCCAAGUGGUAACACUUAGUGUCCUGGGAUGGAGUGCUGAGAGAAAUCCGGAGGAUUCAGAGAAGAUGACCAAAAAGGACUACUUCACAGGGCUCCCAUGUGCUCAGCUUGCAAUUGGAUUCAGCCACCAGAGAUCCCUGGCAAGAGAAUAAAGAAAAAAUAUGUGGGCCACUGGCUUAGGAAGACUGCGUUUUCAGGGGAAAUGACCCAUGGGUGAGCGCUGUGGCACAGACUUAAAAGACUAUGACACUUUCUUUUGGCCUCCAUCAUUUCUGAUAAGAAAUUCACUGUCUUUCA